rnacentral:rRNA from 1 species
UACGGGGGGAGCAAGCGUUGUUCGGAUUUACUGGGCGUAAAGGGCGCGUAGGCGGUCAGCACAAGUCAGUUGUGAAAUCUCCGGGCUUAACUCGGAAAGGUCAACUGAUACUGUGCGACUAGAGUGCGGAAGGGGCAACUGGAAUUCUCGGUGUAGCGGUGAAAUGCUUAGAUAUGACAUAGAACACCAAUUGCGAAGGCAGCUCACUACGCGAAUAUUGACACUGAGGCACGAAAGCGUGGGGAUCAAACAGG